UACAGAGGGGGCGAGCGUUGUUCGGAAUUACUGGGCGUAAAGGGCGCGUAGGCGGCCUCUUAAGUCGAACGUGAAAUCCCCGGGCUCAACCCGGGAACUGCGUCCGAUACUGGGAGGCUUGAAUCCGGGAGAGGGAUGUGGAAUUCCAGGUGUAGCGGUGAAAUGCGUAGAUAUCUGGAGGAACACCGGUGGCGAAGGCGGCAUCCUGGACCGGUAUUGACGCUGAGGAGCGAAAGCGUGGGGAGCGAACAGG
rnacentral:rRNA from 1 species